GGAUGGGUGGCUGAGUGGUUGAAAGCACCGGUCUUGAAAACCGGCGGAGGUUCACGCCUCCCGGGGGUUCGAAUCCCUCCCCAUCCGCCA
rnacentral:tRNA from 1 species